AACUUCUGACAACGGAUCUCUUGGCUCUCGCAACGAUGAAGAACGCAGCGAAAUGCGAUACGUAAUGUGAAUUGCAGAUCUCCGCGAAUCAUCGAAUCUUUGAACGCACCUUGCACUUCUUGGUAUCCCAGGAAGUAUGCCUGUUUGAGUAUCAAUG
rnacentral:rRNA from 1 species